GCUCAGGACGAACGCUGGCGGCGUGCUUAACACAUGCAAGUCGAACGGGGUGUUUAUUUCGGUAAACACCAAGUGGCGAACGGGUGAGUAACGCGUAAGCAAUCUACCUUCAAGAUGGGGACAACACUUCGAAAGGGGUGCUAAUACCGAAUGAAUGUAAGAGUAUCGCAUGAGACACUUACUAAAGGAGGCCUCUGAAAAUGCUUCCGCUUGAAGAUGAGCUUGCGUCUGAUUAGCUAGUUGGUGAGGGUAAAGGCCCACCAAGGCGACGAUCAGUAGCCGGUCUGAGAGGAUGAACGGCCACAUUGGGACUGAGACACGGCCCAGACUCCUACGGGAGGCAGCAGUGGGGAAUCUUCCGCAAUGGGCGAAAGCCUGACGGAGCAACGCCGCGUGAACGAUGAAGGUCUUAGGAUCGUAAAGUUCUGUUGUUAGGGACGAAGGAUAAGGAUUAUAAUACAGUCUUUGUUUGACGGUACCUAACGAGGAAGCCACGGCUAACUACGUGCCAGCAGCCGCGGUAAUACGUAGGCGGCAAGCGUUGUCCGGAAUUAUUGGGCGUAAAGGGAGCGCAGGCGGGAAACUAAGCGGAUCUUAAAAGUGCGGGGCUCAACCCCGUGAUGGGGUCCGAACUGGUUUUCUUGAGUGCAGGAGAGGAAAGCGGAAUUCCCAGUGUAGCGGUGAAAUGCGUAGAUAUUGGGAAGAACACCAGUGGCGAAGGCGGCUUUCUGGACUGUAACUGACGCUGAGGCUCGAAAGCUAGGGUAGCGAACGGGAUUAGAUACCCCGGUAGUCCUAGCCGUAAACGAUGGAUACUAGGUGUGGGAGGUAUCGACUCCUUCCGUGCCGGAGUUAACGCAAUAAGUAUCCCGCCUGGGGAGUA
rnacentral:rRNA from 1 species